rnacentral:rRNA from 1 species
CACGUAGGGCGCAAGCGUUGUCCGGAAUUAUUGGGCGUAAAGAGCUCGUAGGCGGUCUGUUGCGUCCGCUGUGAAAACCCGGGGCUUAACCCCUGGCUUGCAGUGGAUACGGACAGACUAGAGGUAGGUAGGGGAGAAUGGAAUUCCCGGUGUAGCGGUGAAAUGCGCAGAUAUCGGGAGGAACACCGGUGGCGAAGGCGGUUCUCUGGGCCGAUACUGACGCUGAGGAGCGAAAGCGUGGGGAGCGAACAGG